GCCGUGGCUCAGUGGAAGAGCCUCUGCUUCGCAUGCAGAAGGUCCCAGGUUCAAUUCCCGGCAUCUCCA